UACGUAGGGUGCAAGCGUUAAUCGGAAUUACUGGGCGUAAAGCGUGCGCAGGCGGUUUUGUAAGUCUGUCGUGAAAGCCCCGGGCUCAACCUGUGAAUUGCGAUGGAGACUGCAAGGCUUGAAUCUGGCAGAGGGGGGUAGAAUUCCACGUGUAGCAGUGAAAUGCGUAGAGAUGUGGAGGAACACCGAUGGCGAAGGCAGCCCCCUGGGUCAAGAUUGACGCUCAUGCACGAAAGCGUGGGGAGCAAACAGG
rnacentral:rRNA from 1 species